GCUUUCCUGGCUCAGUUGGUUAGAGCGCCAGUCUCAUAGCGGUAUGAGGGAUUUGCUAAUCCUUUAAUCUGGAGGUCAUGAGUUCGACCCUCAUGGAGAGCA